rnacentral:misc_RNA from 1 species
GAAAAUAUUCCUACCCUUUUUCCAAACGCCACCCCUUAACUUUAUGCUCAAAUCUAGAAAGCACAGUUACUUCCAGCGCCUCCUGCCUGAAUCCUAACGGCCGGCCUCUGCUACAAAUCGAAAGCUCAAAGCUCCAAUAUUGAACCGGCAACAAUCCAGUUCCCAUCUUAUUAACACUACUGAGAUUUCACAGCGACCUCUUUUGCGUUUUCUACAUUCUUUCCAAGUGCAGAAUGGCUUCAUUGGCUGCUUCGCGUCUCCGUCUGGUAUCUUCAUCUUCGACUCGUCUUCAUCACCAACCUGGCUUUCCUCCUCACCGACCAGCAAGCCUCUCAUUCUCAUCCUUUUCCACUUCUAUGCCAGGGUUUGGGACUGGCGUUGCCCUUGAGAGGCAGAAGCAACGCUCUUCGUUUGUGGAAACGGCGGCGGUUAGGCAUUUGGUUGGAUCCCUCACCAGAGCUGAGGGACUUCGCUUUGCUGUGGUUGUAGCACGGUUUAAUGAGAUUGUGACAAAGCAGCUUUUGGAAGGAGCUUUGGAAACUUUCAAGAGAUAUUCAGUCAAAGAAGAGGAUAUUGAUGUGGUGUGGGUUCCUGGCAGUUUUGAAAUAGGCCUUGUUGCUGAAAGGCUUGGGAAGUCACGAAAUUAUCAUGCAAUUCUAUGUAUUGGAGCUGUGAUAAGGGGUGAUACUACCCACUAUGAUGCGGUUGCCAAUUCAGCAGCAUCUGGAGUACUUUCAGCUGGUAUAAAUUCAGGAGUUCCAUGCAUAUUUGGCGUUCUAACUUGUGAUGACAUGGAGCAGGCUUUAAAUCGAGCUGGUGGCAAGUCUGGGAAUAAGGGUGCCGAGGGUGCUCUAACAGCUAUUGAGAUGGCAUCCCUGUUUGAGCACCAUUUGAACUAGUAAUACUGUUGCUAUUCCUUUUUUUCCUGAGACUGUUCAUGUAGACAUCCUUUGAACUGUUCAAAUAUUGUUGGAUUGAGAGUUUGAUGUAACAUUGAAAAGGUAGCCUCAAUAUUCCGA